UACGAGGGGGGCAAGCGUUGUUCGGAAUUAUUGGGCGUAAAGGGUGCGUAGGCGGUGCGGUAAGUCUGUUGUGAAAUCUCCGGGCUCAACUCGGAGUCUGCAUCAGAAACUGCCGUGCUGGAGUGUGGGAGAGGUGAGUGGAAUUCCCGGUGUAGCGGUGAAAUGCGUAGAGAUCGGGAGGAACACCUGCGGCGAAAGCGGCUCACUGGACCAUAACUGACGCUGAUGCACGAAAGCUAGGGAAGCAAACAGG
rnacentral:rRNA from 1 species